GAUGGAAGAGGCCCAAGCACAAGCCCACAUGCAAGCCCACCAAAGGGUAGAUUUGGGCCAACCAUAGAGUUAUGGCCAAUAGGAUCCAAGAAGACGUUCUUUUACAUGUUCAAAUGCCAUAAACUCUAGUGUAGAGUAGACUUUAAUUUCUUGUCAAAAUUAGCAUAGGAACUUUAUUUGUAAUUUUCUUAGAAUUAAUUUUGGCACCUAAAACACCAACCUAGUAAACUUAGAGUUUCUAAAAAAACCUCUAAAUUUACCAAGGCCGGUCUAGAAAGCCCAUGGAGGGGGUGAGCAUAAAAACUAGACACACCCCUCCCCAUGUGCUCAUUUGUGCACCCUUGUGCUUCACAUUUACAUUUCAUUUGGCUAGCAUUAGGGUUGCAUUAUGGUCCUCCUUAGCCUAUAAAAGGAGGAGCCUACACCUUGUAUUUUCAAGUUUAUUGUGAGUAAAGUUAUGCUGCCAAUUUGUGC
rnacentral:lncRNA from 1 species